CGUUGUCCGGAUUUAUUGGGCGUAAAGGGUUUCGCAGGUGGCCUUUUAAGUCAGAUGUGAAAGAUCACAGCUCAACUGUGGUAAGCAUUUGAAACUGAAAGGCUUGAGUUAAGGAGAGGAAAGUGGAAUUCCUAGUGUAGCGGUGAAAUGCGUAGAUAUUAGGAGGAAUACCAGUGGCGAAGGCGACUUUCUGGACUUAUACCGACACUGAGGAACGAAAGCGUGGGGAGC
rnacentral:rRNA from 1 species